rnacentral:rRNA from 1 species
CAGCGGCGAGGUUGGCCAAACUCCGAACUUUGUCCCCUAUGCAAACAAGUCCAAGAAUAUGCCGCCCAUCUUCUCUUCCAAUGUAGAUUCGCUGCCCGCAUCAGGAACGAGGUGGCCGUCUAGCUUGGCAUUCAUGACCACUCACCAUUGACUUGGCACCAUGAAGGCAUGCUUCAAGAUUGGUGGCUGAAGACGGUUAACACGCGAGGGCAUAUCAAGAAAGCUAUUGGCUUUGUUCUAAUGCUCGUCGUGUGGGAAAUUUGGAAGGAGUGAAAUGCAAGAGUUUUUCGCAAGAUGGCUUCGUUGACCACUAUUAUUGUUGCCAAGAUCAAAGAGGAGGCCCAUCUUUGGGUGUUGGCGGGAGCCAAAGACGUGAGUGCAGCUAUGUCGCGAGAGCAGUCUAUUAUUUUGCCGCUUUGCAGCUUUUGUCUAAACCUUCUCUUUAAUUAA